UACAGCUAAACAAUCGUAAUCAGCAACAAUGUCAUCAGGUGGUGAGGCUUUCGUUAUUACAUUUGGUUACAAGAACCUGCAGUAUAAUGCCAGUGGGGAAAAAAAMAAAUGCUGUUUGCAAAACUUGUGGAAUUAACAUUAAAGAUGCUGGCGCAACUACAUCCGACAUUUGAAAACUCACUACGAAAGGUACACUGAAUUCUGCAAAGCGAAGGUUACCAGCACAGGGACAGAAGGACAGAGCAGCAUCGACUCAUUCUUGACCACCACAGGUGUCCAUGUGUACAGCCAGGGCCACCCCAGACAGAAGGCCAUUACAGAGGCUAUAUUGCAAGACCUGAUCAUUUCCUGCAACCUGUCUAUGUCCUUAGUGGACAACCCUCACUUUAGGCAUUUCAUGUCAGUGGUAGAUGAUAAAUAUAGACCAGAGAGAAGACCCUAGAGAAGACAGAAUCAGUGUCUGUCACUAGAUAUAUGGACUGACAGGGCCAUGAGGCGCAUCAUGGGAGUAACGGCCCAUUACAUGGCCACAGAGCAGGGGGAAAAAACUCCCAGUUGGAGUCAGUUCUGUUGAGCUGUGAUAGAUUCACAGGGUCACACACUGGGGAAAGAAUCUGUGAUACAUUUAGAGACGGACUAAAGGAAACAAAAAUCAUAAACAGUGUGAUGGCUAAGGUAACUAAACGUUGCAGCUUACUACAUACUACCUGUGGCUCUGAAAGAAGCAUUUGAAGCAGAGUUCCGAGACAGUCAUAGUAUCCCUGCUGCUGUGUCUACCAGAUGGAAUUCCAUCCUCUGGCUUGUUAAAGCAGUCACCAAUCUGAAUAAACAGAGCCUCAAUACUCUACUUGAGCCCCAAGGAAACAAGGAGCUCUGCUUAUCACCAAGGGAAUGGAGCCAGCUAUUGMAGCUAGUGGACAUUUUGGACCRUUUUGUCCAGGCCACCGKCCUUACUCAGGGGGAGAAAGUGGUGACUCUCAGUGCCGCCCUUCCUUGUGUACUGUCACUCGACUAUCGUCUGCAAAGUAUACUGAGCKCAAGUCGUCACCUAGUCAGUCUAGUAAAAGCACUGCAGCAGUCACUCAAACGCCGAUUCCCGGGGAUGUUUGUGAAUGUCAGAAUGGAGUACUCGGAUGAACAGGCYACACAACUUCCAUUUGGUGACAAUGUAUACAUAAUGGCUGCACUGCUGGACCCAUCUUUCUGCCUGUUUUGAUCAUGAUGUCCUCAUACCUCAUGAAGAUAAAGCUGAUUUGAAGGAGAGUCUGAUUGACCUUGUUCUGGCUGAGGCACGGAACGUCACCGUUACGGAGAGCAGUUUACGGAGAUAAACAAGAACAACCACCUGCCAAAACCUCCAGACUGUUCUCUGGCUACCGAAACAAGAUUAGCAAGAAGGAGACAAAGUUAUCUUUCAGAGCAGAUAUUAUUCGCUACAUUAAAGUAUCUUCUGAUGAAAAUUAAGUUGAUUGCUUGGAUUUUUGGAGAAUCUAUGCAAAAGACUUUCCAAUGCUCAAGCAGGUAGCAAUGACAGUGUUGGCUGUGCCUGCCACCUGUGCCCCAGUGGAGAGAAUGUUUUGUCAUGGAGGUCUCAUCAUGCGCCCUCAUCGUGCCAGGCUCAGUGCAAGGACGCUGACAAACUUGAUCUUUCUGAAAUGCAACCUGUCUGCAACAUAAAUGUUCUCUGUCUUAAGGCACAGGAUGUAAUUUGCUAAUUGUUACAGGAAAUUGUAUUUCUGUUAAGUGUCCGGGUCAGUAAAUAUAUUUUAGGAAUAAAGGUCAUUACGUUUGAUAUAUAGGACACUUUAGUGCAGUUAAUGAACAGUUGUCAAUCAUUUUUGGCUUACAUUCAUGCUUGUCAUUUAUCUUCCCUCACCUACAGAUGUUCUGUUUGUGUGACAGAAUGAAGUGAAAUAUAGACAAUGUCUGCCACAAAAUACCAUGCACUUUAAAAUGUUAUACUAGCUUUUUUUCA